ACGAACGCUGGCGGCGUGCCUAAUACAUGCAAGUCGAACGCUUCUUUUUCCACCGGAGCUUGCUCCACCGGAAAAAGAGGAGUGGCGAACGGGUGAGUAACACGUGGGUAACCUGCCCAUCAGAAGGGGAUAACACUUGGAAACAGGUGCUAAUACCGUAUAACAAUCGAAACCGCAUGGUUUUGAUUUGAAAGGCGCUUUCGGGUGUCGCUGAUGGAUGGACCCGCGGUGCAUUAGCUAGUUGGUGAGGUAACGGCUCACCAAGGCGACGAUGCAUAGCCGACCUGAGAGGGUGAUCGGCCACAUUGGGACUGAGACACGGCCCAAACUCCUACGGGAGGCAGCAGUAGGGAAUCUUCGGCAAUGGACGAAAGUCUGACCGAGCAACGCCGCGUGAGUGAAGAAGGUUUUCGGAUCGUAAAACUCUGUUGUUAGAGAAGAACAAGGAUGAGAGUAACUGUUCAUCCCUUGACGGUAUCUAACCAGAAAGCCACGGCUAACUACGUGCCAGCAGCCGCGGUAAUACGUAGGUGGCAAGCGUUGGCCGGAUUUAUUGGGCGUAAAGCGAGCGCAGGCGGUUUCUUAAGUCUGAUGUGAAAGCCCCCGGCUCAACCGGGGAGGGUCAUUGGAAACUGGGAGACUUGAGUGCAGAAGAGGAGAGUGGAAUUCCAUGUGUAGCGGUGAAAUGCGUAGAUAUAUGGAGGAACACCAGUGGCGAAGGCGGCUCUCUGGUCUGUAACUGACGCUGAGGCUCGAAAGCGUGGGGAGCAAACAGGAUUAGAUACCCUGGUAGUCCACGCCGUAAACGAUGAGUGCUAAGUGUUGGAGGGUUUCCGCCCUUCAGUGCUGCAGCUAACGCAUUAAGCACUCCGCCUGGGGAGUACGACCGCAAGGUUGAAACUCAAAGGAAUUGACGGGGGCCCGCACAAGCGGUGGAGCAUGUGGUUUAAUUCGAAGCAACGCGAAGAACCUUACCAGGUCUUGACAUCCUUUGACCACUCUAGAGAUAGAGCUUCCCCUUCGGGGGCAAAGUGACAGGUGGUGCAUGGUUGUCGUCAGCUCGUGUCGUGAGAUGUUGGGUUAAGUCCCGCAACGAGCGCAACCCUUAUUGUUAGUUGCCAUCAUUUAGUUGGGCACUCUAGCAAGACUGCCGGUGACAAACCGGAGGAAGGUGGGGAUGACGUCAAAUCAUCAUGCCCCUUAUGACCUGGGCUACACACGUGCUACAAUGGGAAGUACAACGAGUCGCAAAGUCGCGAGGCUAAGCUAAUCUCUUAAAGCUUCUCUCAGUUCGGAUUGUAGGCUGCAACUCGCCUACAUGAAGCCGGAAUCGCUAGUAAUCGCGGAUCAGCACGCCGCGGUGAAUACGUUCCCGGGCCUUGUACACACCGCCCGUCACACCACGAGAGUUUGUAACACCCGAAGUCGGUGAGGUAACCUUUUGGAGCCAGCCGCCUAAGGUGGGAUAGAUGAUUGGGGUG
rnacentral:rRNA from 1 species